UACGUAGGGUGCGAGCGUUAAUCGGAAUUACUGGGCGUAAAGCGUGCGCAGGCGGCGCGUUAAGACAGGUGUGAAAUCCCCGGGCUUAACCUGGGAACUGCGCUUGUUACUGGCAGGCUUGAGUGUGACAGAGGGGGGUGGAAUUCCACGUGUAGCAGUGAAAUGCGUAGAGAUGUGGAGGAACACCGAUGGCGAAGGCAGCCCCCUGGGCCGACACUGACGCUCAUGCACGAAAGCGUGGGGAGCAAACAGG
rnacentral:rRNA from 1 species